GUGAACCUGUUUGAGAUAGGUUUCAUGUUUCUUUUUGCUUUAGCUCAGAUUCUAAGAUAGUAGAAUUAGUCUGAAGUCAUUAACCAGUGGAGCUAGAAGGUAAACCCUGGUUUUUAAGUUCUGUGUUCUUUUUUAAAAGUAAAGACCAACUUUUGCCUCAUUAUCCUCUGCUGUCUCCCACCCUUAGAGGAGGAAAUGUUUGCAUAUAUUUAUACUAGAGGUAGUUACUUUG
rnacentral:lncRNA from 1 species